rnacentral:tRNA from 1 species
CCCGUCGUAGUUUAACCUGGUAGAACCUUCGGCUGUAGCCCGAAAGGUCGGCGGUUCAAAUCCGCCCGACGGGA